rnacentral:sRNA from 1 species
AGAGAGUAUAUGAGGUGCGUAACUUGGGC